AACGAACGCUGGCGGCAGGCUUAACACAUGCAAGUCGAACGCCCCGCAAGGGGAGUGGCAGACGGGUGAGUAACGCGUGGGAAUCUACCGUACCCUACGGAAUAACGCAUGGAAACGUGUGCUAAUACCGUAUACGCCCUACGGGGGAAAGAUUUAUCGGGGUAUGAUGAGCCCGCGUUGGAUUAGCUAGUUGGUGGGGUAAAGGCCUACCAUGGCGACGAUCCAUAGCUGGUCUGAGAGGAUGAUCAGCCACAUUGGGACUGAGACACGGCCCAGACUCCUACGGGAGGCAGCAGUGGGGAAUAUUGGACAAUGGGCGCAAGCCUGAUCCAGCAAUGCCGCGUGAGUGAUGAAGGCCUUAGGGUUGUAAAGCUCUUUCGCACGCGACGAUGAUGACGGUAGCGUGAGAAGAAGCCCCGGCUAACUUCGUGCCAGCAGCCGCCGUAACAC
rnacentral:rRNA from 1 species